rnacentral:tRNA from 3 species
AGCCCGGUAGUGUAGCGGUCAAUCAUGCGGGACUCUGGAUCCUGCGACCAAGGUUCGAAUCCUUGCCGGGCUACCA